rnacentral:rRNA from 1 species
UACGUAGGGGGCAAGCGUUGUCCGGAAUCAUUGGGCGUAAAGCGCGUGUAGGCGGCCAGAAAAGUCCGCUGUGAAAACUCGAGGCUCAACUUCGAGCUGUCGGUGGAAACUUUCUGGCUAGAGUCCGGAAGAGGAGAAUGGAAUUCCUGGUGUAGCGGUGAAAUGCGCAGAUAUCAGGGAGAACACCCGUGGCGAAGGCGGUUCUCUGGGACGGUACUGACGCUGAGACGCGAAAGCGUGGGGAGCGAACAGG